ACAAAUGAUUUUUAAUUUCAAAAAAAUCGCGAUGAAAGAAAUGAAUCCGGAAAUAAAUAUUAAGCACUUCAAACAAAAAAAAAAACAAAAAUUUGUUAUGAUCAUGUUCCACCACUCCCUGGACACCCUGUAUAAAAAAAUAUACUACUGCUAACUUAACUAAAAACUAGGCAUGAGAGAGUAAUAGGGAGGAACCAUGUGGUAUUCGGAGGUGAAGGGAGUCUAGGGAAAAAUAAAGCGGUUUAGGACCGACGGAAUGUGCGGGGAAGAGAGAAAACGCGAGUGUAGGAUAGAGAGAGAUAGAAGACCGGUUUGCCGGGACAAAUGGGCCUGGUCUGGUUCACUUGAAGCUUGAACCAUGAACAGCAUCUGUAGAUAAAAUACAGUCAUAUUAUUCGUUUGUUAUUCGUUCAAUGUCACAAUGUUGUGAAACUAUGAUCGUUCUCAUUUUAGAAAAAGGGUGUUUUCUGUCAAUUUGUAUAUGAUGUACUAUGUAACCAGUUUCGCUGUUGUUAUUUUUAUUGAUAGGUAAAUGAUCAAAAAAUUGCAAUCGAAGUGAAUUAAUUGUUACUGGCCAAAAUAAUAUUUAAUGCAGUUCUGAAAGUCACCCGCAAUGGCUUCCAGAGUAAUGUACGAUUCGCAAGUUCGAAAUGAAACAUCCUCGAAAGACUUUGUGCUCCACCCCAGAUUGACAAGUUUACAAGAGAUGGCAUACAACCAAAUAGCCAUAGCAGUGUGGUAUAGAUAUUGUUCAACUCCAACCCAACGGAACUACAAACGAUGGUAUCCUCAAUUUAUUGAUAAACAAGAACUAAUGGAUUGCCAUAAACUGAUAAAAACUUUGACGAUGCCUCGAUUUAUGAAAGAAAACUUGAAAAAAUAUCUGAAGAGAGUUCGCCAAGAAACAAUUAGUUGCACUAAAUUCUUCAUGUACGAAUUAUUAUCAGGAAGGUUGGAGGAGUAUAGAAUCUCUCAAGUUGAUUGGGAGUAUUUCGUAUGGCGUCCAGAUGGUCGUAUCAAUUAUAAAAGCACUGCCAUCAAAAUGCUACAUUCGCGCGUGUUGACUGAGGUGCAGAAGUUCGCCAUCAUGAGCAAUUUCUGCCUGGAAAAUGAUAUCAAAAUCUUCAAUCUGAAUCGCCGUCCUAUGAAAACCUUUAUCCCAAAAGUAAAUGAACACCGAGAUCCGUUAUUGUUUUACUGGAUCUGCUACCUGAAGAACAAAUUACACAUAAUUACACCAGUCUUAUUUCUUCGUUCAUAUGAUUAUCGUGAUGAAACAAAUUUUAUAUACAAAAACGAGAACCAAUGGGGAGCGUUUGAGUACUUCUGGAAUCGUUUAAGUGCUGAAGAUCAAGUAUCCUUUCUAAGCAUCAGAUUACGUACAUUCGAGCGUUCUCACUGGUAAGAUGGCCUGUUUUACAAGAUGUCCCAUGAUCAGUUGACAAAUUUACUGCUCCAUCAACCGGUUCCUGUGAUAUUAGUUUUUAUCAAAAAAAUAGAAAUGCCCGAGUGGGCAAUAAUGACUUGGAAGCGGUGUAAGAAUCGCAUAUCUAAUAAGCAAUUUGUCAAGUUGUUGCUCAGCCUAGUUGGGCAAUUUUCCAAACAGUUUAUGCAUGAACAAGAGCACAAGAUGAGUGUUUUAUUGGAAAUUUGGAAUGCGGCCAACGGUCACCAUAAGAAAUACGCAGCGAGACAUGGGACAUUAGAAACUGCUGUCGUUAUUCUGCUGCCAGCGAGUCCUUUUAGAUUUUCUUUUAGGUCAAAUGAUGAUAAUAUAGAAGCACGUCUCUGGAAAAAAGUAGCACCCAGCAGUUUAAAGUUUCUACUGAAAUUUAUCUCUUUGAAAAGCGCGAAUUUCAGAAAAAAUCUAUUUCUCGAAGGCGACCCCUCAUUUAUAUUUUACUUCGAUUUAAACUUGGUACGCGAAAUAUUUGAUUUAUGCUUGCCGAAUUUCCAAGGUCAGCUGGAAUUCCAAAAUGAAUGGAGUGCAUACGGAAUUCGUCCUUAUUUAUGUGAUAUUUUAUACAACGUAAAAGAUCACGAUGAAUUAAAUGAAAGAUUGUUACGUUCCUUUCAAAACUUGAAUAUUUCUUCAACCAAUAGUGAUGUACUAAAAAAAUUCAUCGAGUCGAUGAUUAUAGCCCGUAAAACAGAACACCGAAAGUAUUAUUUUUCUGGUUUGAUAAGAUUGAAUAAAUUCAUCGCGAAAAUUCUGCCAGAAAAUGUGUCCACAGUGUUGAAAAUGAAAGAAUCGUUCAUUUCUUCAUUUGCAGCCAACAGUGAUCCAUAUGAACGGUAUGGUAGUUUGCAUGAAUUGAGCAUACUAAUUGAGCAGGAGUUUGUACAUGAACAUCUGCCGGAAUUGAAAUACCGAUUACUUCUAAUACUCCUAACAACAAGUGUUGAAGAAUGGGUUCGGUAUGUGUCAAAUUAUGAAAAUUUCGGCUGUGCUUUUUCAUGGUGCUUUGAUAAUGAAGACGAAGAUGAGUUUCUACAUGUUAAACGUUAUGUACUUAGACAUAUACCAAUUGAUAAUAUUGUUGGUAAAGUUUUUAUUGCUAACCGAGUCACGUGUUUCAAUAACUUGCAGAGAUUUCUGGAGUGGUACUUCUCCGGAGUUGAGGAAAAAGUGGUAUCUUUUAAAUUAGGCAUGGUGAAUGAUCCUGAGAUUACUAAAGUAUUGGAACGCAUACAGGAAUACGACAAGCAGUUUCGUGGAAAGUUUUUGCAGUGGAUUGGCCUUCCUAUUGAACUCCCUGCUAAAAGAAGUACCUUUAGCGUCGUAUCUUUUUUAUUUUUCAUUUUUUUUGCCAUUUUAGCCGUAAUAUGUGUGUACCUACCUCUAAGCUAAUUCCAUCAUCUAUGUACUUACUUACAUACAUAUUUUUGUAAUCAUUUUUUUUUUUUAAAUAUGGCGAUUGUUUGAAAUUUUGCUCAUGUAUUCAGAUGUUUUUAUCAACAUUCAGUGGUUUUUAAUGGUUUUUGUGUUCGUUUAACGAGUAUUGAUGAUAUUUUAUGCAACUUUUUUUUUCAAAUUUUACUGAAAUUUUAUUAAUGUUUGCCAAAGCUUAGGUACAAUGUUCCCGACAAUUUUACAGUUUUAGUCGUGAUUCUUUUUUAUAAUUUUUCAAUGAAGUUUUAUAAAAAUAUUGUGUAUUUUUUUUUCAUUGUAUGUAAUUGAUAAAUUUUUUCGCCACUUGA